UACAGAGGUCCCAAGCGUUGUUCGGAUUCACUGGGCGUAAAGGGUGCGUAGGUGGUGAGGUAAGUCGGAUGUGAAAUCUCCGAGCUCAACUCGGAAACUGCAUUGGAAACUACCUUGCUCGAGGGUUGGAGGGGGGACUGGAAUACUUGGUGUAGCAGUGAAAUGCGUAGAUAUCGGGAGGAACACCAGUGGCGAAGGCGGCGAUCUGGGAAGAUACUGACGCUGAGGUGCGAAAGCGUGGGGAGCAAACAGG
rnacentral:rRNA from 1 species